rnacentral:misc_RNA from 1 species
GGAAUAAAAGUCGUAACAAGGUUUCCGUAGGUGAACCUGCGGAAGGAUCAUUAUUGUAUAACCGAGGUGCGAGGGCUGUCGCUGACCCGAAAGGUCGUGCACGCCCGAGUGCCCUCACACACAUCCAUCUCACCCCUAUGUGCACCACCGCGUGGGUCCCCCUUUGGCUUGUUCGGAGGGGGGCUUACGUUUUCACACAAACUUUGUAUGCAGUGUAGAAUGUAUUUUUUGUUUUUGCGAUCACGCAAUCAAUACAACUUUCAACAACGGGUCUCUUGGCUCUG